rnacentral:rRNA from 1 species
AUUGAACGCUGGCGGCAGGCUUAACACAUGCAAGUCGAACGAGUGGCGGACGGGUGAGUAAUGCUUGGGAAUCUAGCUUAUGGAGGGGGAUAACUACGGGAAACUGUAGCUAAUACCGCGUACAAUAAGAUGAGCCCAAGUGGGAUUAGGUAGUUGGUGAGGUAAAGGCUCACCAAGCCGACGAUCUCUAGCUGGUCUGAGAGGAUGACCAGCCACACUGGGACUGAGACACGGCCCAGACUCCUACGGGAGGCAGCAGUGGGGAAUCUUCCGCAAUGGACGAAAGUUGACGGAGCAACGCCGCGUGAGUGAUGACGGCCUUCGGGUUGUAAAGCUCUUUUGGCAGGAAAGCGGUACCUGCAGAAUAAGCACCGGCUAACUACGUGCCAGCAGCCGCGGUAAUAC